CCCGCACAAGCGGUGGAGUAUGUGGUUUAAUUCGACGCAACGCGCAGAACCUUACCUAGGCUUGACAUCCCGGGAAUUUGCUGGAAACAGUGAAGUGCUUUCAUUAGAAAGAGCCCGGUGACAGGUGCUGCAUGGCUGUCGUCAGCUCGUGUCGUGAGAUGUUGGGUUAAGUCCCGCAACGAGCGCAACCCUCGCCUUUAGUUGCCAGCAUUCAGUUGGGCACUCUAAAGGGACUGCCGGUGUCAAACCGGAGGAAGGUGGGGAUGACGUCAGGUCCUCAUGGCCUUUAUGUCUAGGGCUACACACGUACUACAAUGGCAGGUACAAAGGGCAGCGACACAGCGAUGUGAUGCGAAUCCCGAAAAGCCUGUCUCAGUCCGGAUCGGAGUCUGCAACUCGACUCCGUGAAGUUGGAAUCGCUAGUAAUCGUGGAUCAGCAUGCCACGGUGAAUACGUUCCCGGGCCUU
rnacentral:rRNA from 1 species